UCUAGAUUUGGGAGAUCCUAACCAUCAAAUCUUUGGUCUUCCUUCAUUGAAUGUGACAUACGGCAAAAUUCUUGCAAAGGUUAGAGAAAUGGUCCAAAUUUCAACCCAUUUAUCAACAAUGAGGAUCUCUGAUCAGUGGGAUUUUUUUUUUCUUUUUCAUGUAAGCCAUCCAUCAAGGGACCCACUAGAUGAAUGCUCUGGUCACCAUUUAGUGGGGUAAAAGGGCAGUCCUCUUUAACAAUGGCAGAAAUCAACUACUGAAUCCUUGCAUUGUAAUUGCACUCUUAAAUAGAAAAUAGACUGUCAUCUUGAUUACUUGCUGUCAGAAGGGAAAAUGCUGACAGAAGAACAACUGACCAUGUUGGUCUGGGAAGCAACCAUUGAAACAUCAGAUACUACUCUGGUUACAACAGAAUGGGCUAUGUAUGAACUUGCGAAAAUCCCCAAGAAUCAGCUGCGAAAGGGCACAAAUACAAGAUGGUCAAACCAUCCUUGAUCUUGGCUAUGGACAAGGACCAUUUACUUCACAUGUUGUUCUGGAGCAUAAAAAUUGUCGUUUUACAGCUGUUACUGACUUGAUCUCUUAGAAGGACUUCAUAAAGGAGCAAUGCAAAAUGGAAUGGCGGAACAUGAUUCAGGUAGCUGACCCCAACUAAUUGCGAUAAGGCUUAGAUGAUGAUGAUGAUUGUCAAAUUUUGGUGAGGCAUAAUGACAUUGCCUUUGUUAGUUAUUUGAAAAAAAAAACUUUUGCCAAGCUGACUCCAGAUAGCUGGAACAAGACUAUAAUUUAAUAAGACAUGGAAUUAUCACAUUCGAUGAUGACUAUUUUACCUAUCUUUGAUGUUUUAUCACAAAAAUUCCAGUUUUGUUGUCUGAAAUAUGCAAGGUUAUAUGGCUAAAGGAUUUUGUAUUGAAAUC